GUCGAGGUGACGGAACAGGUAGACGUGCCAGACUUAGAAUCUGGUGGGGAAACCCAUGGGAGUUCGAAUCUCCCCCUCGACA
rfam:Parcubacteria (Adlerbacteria) bacterium GW2011_GWC1_50_9 TY61_C0065, whole genome shotgun sequence.